rnacentral:rRNA from 1 species
AGACCCGAAACCCGGUGAUCUAGCCAUGGGCAGGUUGAAGGUUGGGUAACACUAACUGGAGGACCGAACCGACUAAUGUUGAAAAAUUAGCGGAUGACCUGUGGCUGGGGGUGAAAGGCCAAUCAAACCGGGAGAUAGCUGGUUCUCCCCGAAAGCUAUUUAGGUAGCGCCUCGUGAACUCAUCUCCGGGGGUAGAGCACUGUUUCGGCUAGGGGGCCAUCCCGGCUUACCAACCCGAUGCAAACUGCGAAUACCGGAGAAUGUUAUCACGGGAGACACACGGCGGGUGCUAACGUCCGUCGUGAAGAGGGAAACAACCCAGACCGCCAGCUAAGGUCCCAAAGUCAUGGUUAAGUGGGAAACGAUGUGGGAAGGCCCAGACAGCCAGGAUGUUGGCUUAGAAGCAGCCAUCAUUUAAAGAAAGCGUAAUAGCUCACUGGUCGAGUCGGCCUGCGCGGAAGAUGUAACGGGGCUAAACCAUGCACCGAAGCUGCGGCAGCGACACUUUAGUGUUGUUGGGUAGGGGAGCGUUCUGUAAGCCGUUGAAGGUGUCCUGUGAGGGGUGCUGGAGGUAUCAGAAGUGCGAAUGCUGACAUAAGUAACGAUAAAGCGGGUGAAAAGCCCGCUCGCCGGAAGACCAAGGGUUCCUGUCCAACGUUAAUCGGGGCAGGGUGAGUCGACCCCUAAGGCGAGGCCGAAAGGCGUAGUCGAUGGGAAACGGGUUAAUAUUCCCGUACUUGGUGUUACUGCGAAGGGGGGACGGAGAAGGCUAUGUUGGCCGGGCGACGGUAGUCCCGGUUUAAGCGUGUAGGUGUGUGUUCCAGGCAAAUCCGGUUCACUUUAACACUGAGGCGUGAUGACGAGGCACCACGGUGCUGAAGCAACAAAUGCCCUGCUUCCAGGAAAAGCCUCUAAGCAUCAGGUAACAUCAAAUCGUACCCCAAACCGACACAGGUGGUCAGGUAGAGAAUACCAAGGCGCUUGAGAGAACUCGGGUGAAGGAACUAGGCAAAAUGGUGCCGUAACUUCGGGAGAAGGCACGCUGACACGUAGGUGAAGUGAUUUACUCACGGAGCUGAAGUCAGUCGAAGAUACCAGCUGGCUGCAACUGUUUAUUAAAAACACAGCACUGUGCAAACACGAAAGUGGACGUAUACGGUGUGACGCCUGCCCGGUGCCGGAAGGUUAAUUGAUGGGGUCAGCGCAAGCGAAGCUCCUGAUCGAAGCCCCGGUAAACGGCGGCCGUAACUAUAACGGUCCUAAGGUAGCGAAAUUCCUUGUCGGGUAAGUUCCGACCUGCACGAAUGGCGUAAUGAUGGCCAGGCUGUCUCCACCCGAGACUCAGUGAAAUUGAACUCGCUGUGAAGAUGCAGUGUACCCGCGGCAAGACGGAAAGACCCCGUGAACCUUUACUAUAGCUUGACACUGAACAUUGAGCCUUGAUGUGUAGGAUAGGUGGGAGGCUUUGAAGCGUGGACGCCAGUCUGCGUGGAGCCGACCUUGAAAUACCACCCUUUAAUGUUUGAUGUUCUAACGUGGACCCGUAAUCCGGGUUGCGGACAGUGUCUGGUGGGUAGUUUGACUGGGGCGGUCUCCUCCUAAAGAGUAACGGAGGAGCACGAAGGUUGGCUAAUCCUGGUCGGACAUCAGGAGGUUAGUGCAAUGGCAUAAGCCAGCUUGACUGCGAGCGUGACGGCGCGAGCAGGUGCGAAAGCAGGUCAUAGUGAUCCGGUGGUUCUGAAUGGAAGGGCCAUCGCUCAACGGAUAAAAGGUACUCCGGGGAUAACAGGCUGAUACCGCCCAAGAGUUCAUAUCGACGGCGGUGUUUGGCACCUCGAUGUCGGCUCAUCACAUCCUGGGGCUGAAGUAGGUCCCAAGGGUAUGGCUGUUCGCCAUUUAAAGUGGUACGCGAGCUGGGUUUAGAACGUCGUGAGACAGUUCGGUCCCUAUCUGCCGUGGGCGCUGGAGAAUUGAGGGGGGCUGCUCCUAGUACGAGAGGACCGGAGUGGACGCAUCACUGGUGUUCGGGUUGUCAUGCCAAUGGCACUGCCCGGUAGCUAAAUGCGGAAAAGAUAAGUGCUGAAAGCAUCUAAGCACGAAACUUGCCCCGAGAUGAGUUCUCCCUGAGACUUUGAGUCUCCUGAAGGAACGUUAAAGACGAUGACGUUGAUAGGCCGGGUGUGUAAGCGCAGCGAUGCGUUGAGCUAACCGGUACUAAUGAACCGUGAGG